CCUACGGGUGGCAGCAGUGAGGAAUAUUGGUCAAUGGACGAGAGUCUGAACCAGCCAAGUAGCGUGAAGGAUGACUGCCCUAUGGGUUGUAAACUUCUUUUAUAUGGGAAUAAAAUGUUCCACGUGUGGGAUUUUGUAUGUACCAUAUGAAUAAGGAUCGGCUAACUCCGUGCCAGCAGCCGCGGUAAUACGGGGGAUCCGAGCGUUAUCCGGAUUUAUUGGGUUUAAAGGGAGCGUAGAUGGGUUGUUAAGUCAGUUGUGAAAGGUUGCGGCUCAACCGUAAAAUUGCAAUUGAGACUGGCAGUCGUGAGUACAGUUGAGGUAGGCGGAAUUCGAGGUGUAGCGGUGAAAUGCUUAGAUAUCACGAAGAACUCCGAUUGCGAAGGCAGCUUACUGAACUGACACUGACAUUGAUGCUCGAAAGUGUGGGUAUCAAACAGGAUUAGAUACCCUAGUAGUC
rnacentral:rRNA from 1 species